CCGCGACCGCGGAUGCCUCACCUUCCGGCUGACGCAGAUGUUGGCCGGCCAUGGGUGUUUUGGCCGGUACCUCUUCGAGAUAGCCGGAAGGGAACCGACGGCGCAGUGCCACCACUGCGCGGACCGCGACGAGGAAGACCCAGCGGAACAUAUAUUGGCGCGUUGCUCUGGAUUCGACGAGCAACGCGCCGCCCUCGUCGCGGUCAUAGGAGAGGACCUCUCCGACGCGUCCUGGAAGGCGAUGCUCGACUUCUGCGAGUCCACCAUCUCACAGAAGGAGGCGGCGGAGCGAGAGAGGGAGAGCUCUUCCCUUUCCGCACCGAUCCGUCGCCGUCGAGCCGGGGGCCGGAGGCGGGAAUACGCCCGUACGCCCGUACGUCCCGGCCCCUGUAGGUGGCGGCCUCCCCCCGGUGAAGGUCAAGGGGCGACCUGAGGGGGUAGAGGCCGCGCGGCGCGUUACCAGCACUCUAGCGCGCCGCCGUGGAGUAAUAGAGCGACCGGUUGGCGGUGUAUCGCGUCCCGACCCGGCAGGCUGGUUCUGGUCCAGCAGGGUAUUCCGGGACACCAGCGGCACCGUCUGGGCGGUCUGACCAACCAAGUACCUGUACCUGUACCUGUACCAAGAAGGCCGACGUUUCAUGAAGGUGAUGGUUUGCUUAUUAGAUAUAAAAUAAUUAAUAAUUGAGAAUUUAAUUGUUUUUAUGAUCGAACAAUCACCAAUAGUUGUCGAACAAACGAUAAUUGAUCAAAAUGAAUUAAUCUGAGCGAUAAAAAUAAAGAUGUCUAGUAAGGGGGCCCACUUAACGGUGAUCAUUUGUUUAAUUAAUUAUAAAUGAAUAAAAGACGAACAAACAAUUUUUACAUUCGAACAUUAAAUACAAAAUAAUACAAAACAAAAAAAAAUAUCCGAAAAUAAAAAAAAGGGGGCCAAAUUUACAGAGCCAAAAUUCUAUGACAUUUUACGUUCCUUUGUACUUUACAAUUGUUCUGAUCAUUUCUGAUGCUCGAUUGGUGACUCUUGGUGAACUAUUGGCUUGGUUGGUUUGUGAUUUUCAGCUUGAUGAAACAAGAAAACGACACGAGCAGGAGGUCGGAAGAGACGUUUACAUCUGUGGCGUUUAAGAACGCACAUUUUUAUGAUGCGUAAGUCGGAACGCACGAGAGGUACGAAAAAGGAUAUAGUCUGUGACACGAGACCUUUUUACCGCCAAAUAUUUAAAACAUAAAAAUAAUUUAUAAUGUGUUAAAUAACUAAUAUACCUGAUAUAAUUAACUGGAAUUGUUUAUGCCGCUACAUCAAUAUAAUUUAUAUUGUUUCAACUGUGGUGUUAAUUACUUAAAACACGACUACGGCGAAAUAAAGAAGGGACUCUAUACGAACUCCCUCACAUCCAUAAGUGCAGCCUGUGACAUAAUGACAUCAAUUCUGCAUUUUGUUUACAUAGUGUGGUGCAGAUUAAUUAAAAGUUUAAAGAGUCAACUACUAAUUCGUCCCUCAGUUCCAACCAUGGAGUUAAUAAGUACCUAGUAACUCUAUGGUUCCAACUCAGUUCACAGACAGUGAUCCGACCAUAGAUUAUACUUUUAUUAAACUUGAGAGAUCCGACAUGUCAACAGAAUUGUGAUCAAAACAAAAGUAAUAUAGCUUGUAACUGGAAAGAAACAAAAACGCAAAAUACAAGAAGAUACAUACUCCAUAAAGGCACAAGAGCAGAUUUUACAAAUCUUGAAGUUGUUGGUACCAGCAGCUUGCAAUACAACAGCCAAGAGCGUGACGAACGACUCUUUUACAAAACAUGAUACGGAUAACAAGAUAAGUAUAAUGUAACGGACGUGACGUCAGCUGUCAUGCCCUGCCGCCAGCCAAGCCGCCAAGCCAUGCUGUUAACACGCCCCCUUCCGCCACCGCCACCGCCGCCGCCGCCAGCCAAAGCCAACGAAGGGGGGAUAGUGUUAAUAAAACAAGCCGUGCCAGCCUUUCUACCUGCUUUCUGCUUUCUCGCACAAAUAAAAGAACUUGUCGUUA